rnacentral:rRNA from 1 species
CAGUAGCCACGGUAAUACGAAGGGUGCAAGCGUUACUCGGAAUUACUGGGCGUAAAGCGUGCGUAGGUGGUGGUUUAAGUCCGUUGUGAAAGCCCUGGGCUCAACCUGGGAAUUGCAGUGGAUACUGGGUCACUAGAGUGUGGUAGAGGAUAGUGGAAUUCCCGGUGUAGCAGUGAAAUGCGUAGAGAUCGGAAGGAACAUCUGUGGCGAAGGCGACUAUCUGGGCCAACACUGACACUGAGGCACGAAAGCGUGGGGAGCAAACAGGAUUAGAUACCCGUGUAGUCCCUGUCUCUUAUAU